rnacentral:rRNA from 1 species
GAUGAACGCUGGCGGCGUGCCUAACACAUGCAAGUCGAACGGAGUAUCUUAUAUAGACUUUCUUAGGAGAUGAAAUAUUAGAUACUUAGUGGCGGACGGGUGAGUAACGCGUGGGUAACCUACCUCAUACAGGGGGAUAACAACCGGAAACGGCUGCUAAAACCGCAUAACAAAGACUAAUCGCAUGAUUAAUCUUUCAAAUAUUUCAUAGGUAUGAGAUGGGCCCCGCGUCUGAUUAGCUAGUUGGUGAGAUAAAAGCCCACCAAGGCGACGAUCAGUAGCCGGCUUGAGAGAGUGACCGGCCACAUUGGGACUGAGACACGGCCCAAACUCCUACGGGGGGCAGCAGUGGGGGAUCUUGCACAAUGGGCGAAAGCCUGAUGCAGCGACGCCGCGUGAGCGAAGAAGGCCUUGGGUUGUAAAGCUCUGUCUGGAGGGACGAAGGAAGUGGACGGUACCGUCCGGAGGAAGCCACGGCUAACUACGUGCCAGCAGCCGAC